rnacentral:rRNA from 1 species
UACAUGGGGUGCAAACGUUGCUCGGAAUUAUUGGGCGUAAAGCGCGCGUAGGCGGUUGUCUAAGUUGGAUGUGAAAGCCCUCGGCUUAACUGAGGAAGUGCACCCAAAACUGGACAGCUGGAGUACGAAAGAGGGUCGCGGAAUUCCCGGUGUAGAGGUGAAAUUCGUAGAUAUCGGGAGGAACACCGGUGGCGAAGGCGGCGACCUGGGUCGAGACUGACGCUGAGGCGCGAAAGCGUGGGGAGCAAACAGG